rnacentral:rRNA from 1 species
UACGUAGGGGGCAAGCGUUAUCCGGAAUUAUUGGGCGUAAAGAGUGCGUAGGUGGUUACUUAAGCGCGGGGUUUAAGGCAAUGGCUCAACCAUUGUAUGCAUUGGAAACUGGUAGACUUGAGUGCAGGAGAGGAGAGUGGAAUUUCAUGUGUAGCGGUGAAAUGCGUAGAUAUAUGGAGGAACACCGGUGGCGAAAGCGGCUCUCUGGCCUGUAACUGACACUGAGGCUCGAAAGCGUGGGGAGCAAACAGG